rnacentral:rRNA from 1 species
CUACGGGCGCAGCAGUGAGGAAUAUUGCACAAUGGGGGGAACCCUGAUGCAGCAACGCCGCGUGGAGGAUGACGCAUUUCGGUGUGUAAACUCCUUUUAUAUGUCAAGAAAAUGACGGUAGCAUAUGAAUAAGCACCGGCUAACUCCGUGCCAGCAGCCGCGGUAAUACGGAGGGUGCAAGCGUUACUCAGAAUCACUGGGCGUAAAGGACGCGUAGGCGGGUCGGAAAGUCAGGUGUGAAAUCCUACAGCUUAACUGUAGAACUGCACUUGAAACUUCUAAUCUAGAGUAUGGGAGGGGGAGAUGGAAUUAGUGGUGUAGGGGUAAAAUCCGUAGAUAUCACUAGGAAUACCUAAAGCGAAGGCGAUCUCCUGGAACAUUACUGACGCUAAGGCGUGAAAGCGUGGGGAGCAAACAGGAUUAGAUACCCGCGUAGUC